rnacentral:snRNA from 1 species
GUGCUCACUUCAGCAGCAUAUACACUAAAAUUGGAAUGAUACAGAGAAGAUUAACAUGGCCCCUGUGCAAGGAUGACACACAAAUUAAUGAAUUAUUCCAUAUUUUC